rnacentral:rRNA from 1 species
CACAGUCCACCCUGAAUAAGCCUGAAGUCUGAUCUCGGAAGUUAUGCAGGGUCGGGCCUGGUUAGCACUUGGAUGGGAGACUACCUAGGAAGACCAGGUGCUGUAA